rnacentral:rRNA from 1 species
UUUUUUAUGGAGAGUUUGAUCCUGGCUCAGAGUGAACGCUGGCGGCGUGCCUAAUACAUGCAAGUCGAACGAUGAAG